rnacentral:rRNA from 1 species
AUCACGUGAGAAACCUGCCCCGAAGACCGGGAUAGCCCGGGGAAACCCGGAUUAAUACCGGAUAUUCUCUACAGAUCGCAUGGUCUGCUGAGGAAAUGCCUUUGUGCUUCGGGAUGGUCUCGCGACCUAUCAGCUAGUUGGUGAGGUAAUAGCUCACCAAGGCAACGACGGGUAGCUGGUCUGAGAGGACGAUCAGCCACACUGGGACUGAGACACGGCCCAG